CUCUAUGCAAGUUGCUUAAGCAAAGCAAAGCAAAGCAAUAUUCACAAGGAACUGAGCAACUAAAGUACCUGGAAACAAUCAAACUCAGUCAGUACUCAAGCAGACAAACCAUAAACAACAAACAGUUAACCAGUUUAAACAAACUAUGCACAACACAAGGCAAGCUCAAGGCUUAAGCCAAGCUUCAACACCUACAAAACAAUGCUAUGUUAAUAUACAAACAUCAACAACAUCAAUUAAAAUUGAUUUGCAUCAUUCUCCAUGUGCCUUAUGCUUUUGAUCCUGAAAACCAAGCAAAUAUUAGCAACUAGACACUAGGCCAAGCCUAGGGUCCAAAAGCAACAAAGUUAAAACAGCAAGGCAUUCACAAUCAAAACUCAAAUUAAAGUCAAACAAGAGCAAACAUCAUUGGUCCCAUGUCUAUAUCAUCCAUUAUGUUCAAUUCAUGCACAAAACAAGGCACAUUGGUUCAAAUGAAGCACCAAGCAUACAAACAGAAUUAUUGCAUUCAAAUCCAUACCAAAACACAUCCAAAAAUUCUCAAAUUAAUUACAUCUAAACAGGGGUCAAUCAAGGUCUACCAUGUCAAAUUUGAGCUUAAUUGGGCAAAUGGAACCAUGUUAAUGAAAAUCAACAAAAACAGACACAGUUACAUGCUUCAAUUCACAACAUCAAUGCAU
rnacentral:lncRNA from 1 species